rnacentral:rRNA from 1 species
GACGAACGCUGGCGGCGUGCCUAAUACAUGCAAGUAGAACGCUGAAGAGAGGAGCUUGCUCUUCUUGGAUGAGUUGCGAACGGGUGAGUAACGCGUAGGUAACCUGCCUUGUAGCGGGGGAUAACUAUUGGAAACGAUAGCUAAUACCGCAUAACAAUGGAUGACACAUGUCAUUUAUUUGAAAGGGGCAAUUGCUCCACUACAAGAUGGACCUGCGUUGUAUUAGCUAGUAGGUGAGGUAACGGCUCACCUAGGCGACGAUACAUAGCCGACCUGAGAGGGUGAUCGGCCACACUGGGACUGAGACACGGCCCAGACUCCUACGGGAGGCAGCAGUAGGGAAUCUUCGGCAAUGGGGGCAACCCUUACCGAGCAACGCCGCGUGAGUGAAGAAGGUUUUCGGAUCGUAAAGCUCUGUUGUAAGUCAAGAACGAGUGUGAGAGUGGAAAGUUCACACUGUGACGGUAGCUUACCAGAAAGGGACGGCUAACUACGUG